AGUGAACGCUGGCGGUAGGCCUAACACAUGCAAGUCGAACGGCAGCACAGUAAGAGCUUGCUCUUACGGGUGGCGAGUGGCGGACGGGUGAGGAAUACAUCGGAAUCUACUUUUUCGUGGGGGAUAACGUAGGGAAACUUACGCUAAUACCGCAUACGACCUACGGGUGAAAGCAGGGGAUCUUCGGACCUUGCGCGAUUGAAUGAGCCGAUGUCGGAUUAGCUAGUUGGCGGGGUAAAGGCCCACCAAGGCGACGAUCCGUAGCUGGUCUGAGAGGAUGAUCACCCCCACUGGAGCUCUGACACGGUCCAGAGUCCUCCGGGAGGGAGCAGUGUGGAAUAUUGUGCAAUAUGGGCAAACCUGUUCCAGCCAUACCGCGUGGGUGAAGAAGGCCUUCGGGUUGUAAAGCCCUUUUGUUGGGAAAGAAAAGCAGCAGGUUAAUACCCCGCUGUUCUGACGGUACCCAAAGAAUAAGCACCGGCUAACUUCGUG
rnacentral:rRNA from 1 species